GCCCUACGGGGCGCAGCAGUGAGGGAUAUUGGUCAAUGGGGGAAACCCUGAACCAGCAACGCCGCGUGAGGGAAGACGGUUUUCGGAUUGUAAACCUCUGUCCUCUGUGAAGAUAAUGACGGUAGCAGAGGAGGAAGCUCCGGCUAACUACGUGCCAGCAGCCGCGGUAAUACGGAGGAUGCGAGCGUUAUCCGGAUUUAUUGGGUUUAAAGGGUGCGUAGGCGGGAUGCCAAGUCAGCGGUAAAAAUGCGGGGCUCAACCCGGGCCGGCCGUUGAAACUGGGGAUCUUGAGUGGGCGAGAAGUA
rnacentral:rRNA from 1 species